rnacentral:rRNA from 1 species
UACAGAGGUCUCAAGCGUUGUUCGGAUUCAUUGGGCGUAAAGGGUGUGUUGGUGGCGCCGUAAGUCGGGUGUGAAAUUUCGGAGCUUAACUCCGAAACUGCAUUCGAUACUGCGGUGCUUGAGGACUGGAGAGGAGACUGGAAUUCAUGGUGUAGCAGUGAAAUGCGUAGAGAUCAUGAGGAAGACCAGUGGCGAAGGCGGGUCUCUGGACAGUUCCUGACACUGAGACACGAAGGCCAGGGGAGCAAACGGG